UACGGAGGGUGCAAGCGUUAUCCGGAUUCACUGGGUUUAAAGGGUGCGUAGGUGGGUUGGUAAGUCAGUGGUGAAAUCUCCGUGCUUAACAUGGAAACUGCCAUUGAUACUACUGAUCUUGAAUUUUCGGGAGGUAAGCGGAAAUAUGUCAUGUAGCGGUGAAAUGCUUAGAUAAUGACAUAGAACACCAAUUGCGAAGGCAGCUUACUACAGGAAUAUUGACACU
rnacentral:rRNA from 1 species